rnacentral:rRNA from 1 species
UUGCCCUAAUAACGGCGAGUGAAGAGGCAGAAGCUCAAAUUUGAAAUCUGGCACCCCUUCACGGGGGUGCCCGAGUUGUAAUUUGCAGAGGAUGCUUUUCGGGCGAGGCGCCUUCCGAGUUCUUCCUGGAUACGGGACGCCACAGAGGGUGAGAGCCCCGUGCGGUGUGGUGCCGAGCCCUUCUGUAAAGCUCCUUCGAAGAGUCGAGUAGUUUGGGAAUGCUGCUCCAAGCGGGAGGUAAACUCCUUCUAAAGCUAAAUACGGGCCAGAGACCGAUAGCGCACAAGUAGAGUGAUCGAAAGAUGAAAAGCACUUUGGAAAGAGAGUUAAACAGCACGUGAAAUUGUUGAGAGGGAAGUGCUCUCGGUCAGACUCGGGCUCGUCUGUUCAGCCGUUUUCCCUCCCCUUCGCGGGGCGGGUGGGCGGUGCACUCCGGCGGGGUUCGGGCCAGCAUCAGUUUCUGGCAGGGGAGAAAUACGGCGGGAACGUGGCUCCUCGCGAGUGUUACAGCCCGCCGUACCAUACCUGCCGGGGGACUGAGGUUCUCGCCCCCCUCCCUCUCGGGGGAGGGGGCGCAAGGAUGCUGGCGUAAUGGCCGACAGCAGACCGUCUUGAAACACGGACACAAGGCAGAGGAGUCAUCCUCGUAGGCGAGUGUCAGGGCGUAAAACCCCCCGGCGCGCAAUGAAAGUGAAUGGAGGUGAGAGCCCCUGGGAGGGGGCGCAUCACCGACCGAUCCUGAAGGGCUUUCCCGGACGGAUUUGAGUACGAGCAUGCGGGGCUGGACCCGAAAGAAGAUGAACAUAUGCUUGGAUAGGGUGAAGCCAGAGGAAACUCUGGUGGAAGCCCGCAGCGG